ensembl:lncRNA
UGGAUUUGGUGGGCCUGGAGGUCUUUAUCCUGGAGCUGGAACAACUGGUCAGAAACUGCCAAAACCAGGAAUUGGACCUGGAGGUGCAGGAACUGGUCCAGGUGGCACAGGACUUGGACCUGGUGGCGUGGGAGUUCUGCCUGGAGGUGUAGGAAUUGGACCAGGUGGCACAGGAAUUGGACCAGGUGGAGCUGGAGUUGGGCCUGGAGGUGUAGGAAUUGGAACUGGCGGUACUGGAACUGGAAUUGUAGGAGCAGGAGUUGCGCCUGGUGGAGGUUUACCAGGAAUUGGGACAGGCACUGGGGGCAAAGUCGGAAAGACUGGGAAGGCACCAGUGCCAGGUCACUCUGUCUAUUGAUGGAGCUCCCCUUUUGUUGGAAUAGUUUUAUCAAAUCUUUGACAAGAAAGCAUUAUUUUAUAUUUUCUCUUUCUGCAAACAAACAAGGUGUUGGGAUUCCUGGGCUAUACCAAGGGGGUAUAGUUCCUGGACAAGGUGAGUGACUGAAAUAUUAGAAAUAUGACAGUUAUAAGAUUUUCCACUGUUUCUAGAAUAUUCAUACACAUAUGACAUUUACAUAUUUGUUUUUAUAUGUAGGUUUUGGCGGUAGAGGCAUUCUGCCAGGUGUAGCAACGGGAUCUCAAACUGGUAAGCUUUAUGUGGUUUAUAGUUUUAUAAUUGAUAGCUUUAUCCAGCAAUUAAAAUGUUUUCUGAAGCUUUGUCUUCUAUUUUAUUGUUUAUAGGGCUGCUUGGUCAAGGUGCACUUGGAGCUAAUGGUAAAAUAAAUUACUGAGAGAACAGUUCUUUCA